GGGUGCGUAACGCGUAUCGAACCUGCCUCAUACUCGGGGAUAGCCUUGCGAAAGUAAGAUUAAUACCCGGCGGUCUCGGACGGCCGCAUGACUGUCCGAGUGAAGAUUUAUCGGUAUGAGAUGGCGAUGCGUCCCAUUAGCUUGUUGGUGAGGUAACGGCUCACCAAGGCAUCGAUGGGUAGGGGUUCUGAGAGGAAGGUCCCCCACAUUGGAACUGAGACACGGUCCAAACUCCUACGGGAGGCAGCAGUGAGGAAUAUUGGUCAAUGGACGAAAGUCUGAACCAGCCAAGUAGCGUGCAGGAUGACGGCCCUCUGGGUUGUAAACUGCUUUUAGUUGGGAAUAAAAAGAGGGACGUGUCCCUUAUUGUAUGUACCAUCAGAAAAAGGACCGGCUAAUUCCGUGCCAGCAGCCGCGGUAAUACGGAAGGUCCAGGCGUUAUCCGGAUUUAUUGGGUUUAAAGGGAGCGCAGGCGGCGGCGUAAGUCAGUUGUGAAAUCGUGCGGCUUAACCGUGCAAUUGCAGUUGAUACUGCGUCGCUUGAGUGCACACAGGGAUGUUGGAAUUCAUGGUGUAGCGGUGAAAUGCUUAGAUAUCAUGAAGAACUCCGAUCGCGAAGGCAUAUGUCCGGGGUGCAACUGACGCUGAGGCUCGAAAGUGUGGGUAUCAAACAGGAUUAGAUACCCUGGUAGUCCACACAGUAAACGAUGAAUACUCGCGGUUGGUUCGUU
rnacentral:rRNA from 1 species